ACGGGAGGCAGCAGUGGGGAAUAUUGCACAAUGGGCGAAAGCCUGAUGCAGCAACGCCGCGUGAGGGAAGACGGUUUUCGGAUUGUAAACCUCUGUUUUCGGUGACGAACAAAUGACGGUAACCGAGUAGGAAGCCACGGCUAACUACGUGCCAGCAGCCGCGGUAAUACGUAGGUGGCAAGCGUUAUCCGGAAUUACUGGGUGUAAAGGGAGCGCAGGUGGGAUAGCAAGUCAGCUGUGAAAACUAUGGGCUCAACCCAUAAACUGCAGUUGAAACUGUUAUUCUUGAGUGGAGUAGAGGCAAGCGGAAUUCCGAGUGUAGCGGUGAAAUGCGUAGAUAUUCGGAGGAACACCAGUGGCGAAGGCGGCUUGCUGGGCUCUAACUGACGCUGAGGCUCGAAAGUGUGGGGAGCAAACAGGAUUAGAUACCCUGGUA
rnacentral:rRNA from 1 species